AGAGUUUGAUCCUGGCUCAGGACGAACGCUGGCGGCGUGCCUAAUACAUGCAAGUUGAACGAUGAUUUCUGGUACUUGUAUCAGAAUGAAGAGUAGCGAACGGGUGAGUGACGCGUGGGUAACCUACCUCUUAGCGGGGGACAACUAUUGGAAACGAUAGCUAAUACCGCAUAACAAUAUUAAACACAUGUUUAAUAUUUGAAAGUACCAAUUGGUACACUAGGAGAUGGACCCGCGUUGUAUUAGCUAGUUGGUAGUGUAAUGGACUACCAAGGCGAUGAUACAUAGCCGACCUGAGAGGGUGAUCGGCCACAUUGGGACUGAGACACGGCCCAAACUCCUACGGGAGGCAGCAGUAGGGAAUCUUCGGCAAUGGACGAAAGUCUGACCGAGCAACGCCGCGUGAGUGAAGAAGGUUUUCGGAUCGUAAAACUCUGUUGUUAGAGAAGAACGUUGUGUAGAGUGGAAAAUUACACAAGUGACGGUAUCUAACCAGAAAGGGACGGCUAACUACGUGCCAGCAGCCGCGGUAAUACGUAGGUCCCGAGCGUUGUCCGGAUUUAUUGGGCGUAAAGCGAGCGCAGGUGGUUUAAUAAGUCUGAUGUAAAAGGCAGUGGCUCAACCAUUGUGUGCAUUGGAGACUGUUAGACUUGAGUGCAGUAGAGGAGAGUGGAAUUCCAUGUGUAGCGGUGAAAUGCGUAGAUAUAUGGAGGAACACCGGUGGCGAAAGCGGCUCUCUGGACUGUAACUGACACUGAGGCUCGAAAGCGUGGGUAGCAAACAGGAUUAGAUACCCUGGUAGUCCACGCCGUAAACGAUGAGUGCUAGUUGUUUGGGGCUAUCCAGCCCUAAGUGACGCAGCAAACGCAUUAAGCACUCCGCCUGGGGAGUACGACCGCAAGGUUGAAACUCAAAGGAAUUGACGGGGGCCCGCACAAGCGGUGGAGCAUGUGGUUUAAUUCGAAGCACGCGAGAUCUUACCAGGUCUUGACAUACCAGUGCUAUUCUUAGAGAUAAGAGUUACUUCGGUACACUGGAUACAGGUGGUGCAUUG
rnacentral:rRNA from 1 species